rnacentral:rRNA from 1 species
GAUGAACGCUGGCUGUGUGCCUAAUACAUGCAUGUCGAGCGGAAGUAGCAAUACUUUAGCGGCGAAUGGGUGAGUAACACGUGCUUAAUCUACCUCUUAGAUUGGAAUACCUAAUGGAAACAUUGGUUAAUGCCGGAUACGCAUGGAGUCGCAUGACUCCGUUGUGAAAGGGGCCUUUAAAGCUCCACUAAGAGAUGAGGGUGCGGAACAUUAGCUAGUUGGUGAGGUAACGGCCCACCAAGGCUAUGAUGUUUAGCCGGGUCGAGAGACUGAACGGCCACAUUGGGACUGAGAUACGGCCCAAACCCCUACGGGAGGCAGCAGUAGGGAAUAUUCCACAAUGAGCGAAAGCUUGAUGGAGCGACACAGCGUGCACGAUGAAGGUCUUAUGGAUUGUAAAGUGCUGUUGCAAGGGAAGAAAAAGUAGUUGAGGAAAUGCUUCUACAUUGACGGUACCUUGUUAGAAAGCGAUGGCUAACUAUGUGCCAGCAGCCGCGGUAAUACAUAGGUCGCAAGCGUUAUCCGGAAUUAUUGGGCGUAAAGCGUUCGUAGGCUGUUUAUUAAGUCUGGAGUCAAAUCCCAGGGCUCAACCCUGGCUCGCUUUGGAUACUGGUAAACUAGAGUUGGAUAGAGGUAAGCGGAAUUCCAUGUGAAGCGGUGAAAUGCGUAGAUAUAUGGAAGAACACCAAAGGCGAAGGCAGCUUACUGGGUUUAUACUGACGCUGAGGAACGAAAGCGUGGGGAGCAAACAGG